rnacentral:rRNA from 1 species
CGGACGGGUGAGUAACGCGUGGAUAACCUGCCGUAUGCAGGGGGAUAACAGUUGGAAACAGCUGCUAAUACCGCAUAAGCGCACAGUACCGCAUGGUACGGUGUGAAAAGAUUUAUCGGCAUACGAUGGAUCCGCGUCCGAUUAGCCAGUUGGCGGGGCAACGGCCCACCAAAGCGACGAUCGGUAGCCGGCCUGAGAGGGCGGACGGCCACAUUGGGACUGAGACACGGCCCAAACUCCUACGGAAGGCAGCAG